rnacentral:lncRNA from 1 species
CCCCAGCCCAUACCUGCAUGUGCUCCGCGCAGUACAAAGGGCGGCCCGCAGCCGUCCCCCUCGCGCACUCCGCAGCCGGAGCGCGGCCGGCGGGGGGGCGAGGGAGCGCGCGGAGAACAAUAAGCCCGAAGACAAGUCGUACCUUCUGCUUUCUUUACACUGCGAACCCCGGUUUCCUCACGAGCCUACAGCGAGGCUGACCGCUUUGAAGAGGCGGGAGAGAUGGGAGAAAGUUGCCUCGAUCUCUCCGGAUAAAGUUGCCGAAGAUGAGCUAAUCCGGGAGAGAUGCGGAGUUCACCCGAGUUUCUCCUUUUGUUCAAGUUGCCCGAGCAGACAAAGAGCCGCCGGCGGCGGCAGGUCCCCGCUCCCCCACUCCACCCCCCCUCCCGGCUGGGUCCCGCCGUGCCCUCUCCCCUCAUCGCCCCAUGGCCCCCCCAACUUUCCACCUCCUCCAUCCCUCCUCGGCCCUGGCGCAAAACUUCCCUCACACUGAACCUCCUGGAAGAAAGAAAAAAAAAAAAAAAGGAAAAAAAAAUUCAAGGCUGGUUGAGGGGUGGAAAGGGAGAGCAACAUCUCUCAAAUCAUUAUUUCCGGUAGAUGCACCUCUUUGUUUGGAUUCCCCCGACUGUCAGUGAGGACAGCCUCUGGGUAUCGGUUAGUCGAAGCGCGCAGAAUGAGACGGGCAAACGCGGGCCGUAAAGGAAAACAAGUUUGGGAGAAGAAAAAGGAAAGAAAGAAAAAAAAUAAAAAAAAAAAAAGGGAGAGAAGAAAGAAAACCUCCGGAGUUGCGAAACGAACCCUUUAUACAUGGACACGGGAAGUACAUAAAUAAACAACUGGAGGGGAAUUUGGGAAGACUGUUGCAUCUCCUCCCCCCUCCCCUUCGUACAUUUGCCGAGAAAAGAGCCAAGGAGCCCCCCAAAGCCCCGUGCCGCGGCCGGCCUCUGGCAUCCCUACCUGUUGCGUAAAGCGCGAAGCAGGGGCCGACAGCAUCCGUCCCGAAGAAACCGAAGGAUAAGGACCCGCGCCCCCUCACCUGCCCCCGGACGCCCCCACGGGGAUAGGAGCAAGACUCCAGAGCAAAGCUGUUCCUGACCCUAGGCAUCCCUACACCAGCAAGACCUUGUGCCCUGUGUCAGAUCUUCUGGGAGAGCCGGACUGCAUGGACUCAGGGCUGCAGCCUUUAAGAGGAAGAAGAUGGAUGACAGACUUCUCCCUGCUACCCCACCAGAGGCCAUGCAAGUGGAAAGAACCUUCCCCUAGCCCCAGGCUGACAGAGCUAUCAGAGGGAAUCUUUGCAAAUUCAGCACAUACCAAACAAUGGGGAUUUUCCUCUGUGUGAUGAGACAUACUCCUGAUCACAGCCCUGGCAAGUCAGUUCCAUUCUGCUGCUUUCAUUCUGGCCAGCUGGUAUCAGCCUCCUGCAUCUCCAAGUCUUAUGAGUUUGACCCUUUUCCUGUGGAAUUAGGUAUGACAAAAAUACCUGUCAUUGUGAAGGACAACAGAAUAUAACUUGUUUUUGCGAGAAAUACCAGGGUCACUCUAAGCUCAGAAAUACUGUGGCAGCUCCAGUAAAACCAGCAAAGUAAAUAUAGACACAAGAUAAACUAUCUGGUCUUCCCUUUGCCUGUGACCUCUAUUACUUUCCCUGUUUCUCUGACUAUAACCUCAGUAAGUGUAUUUUUGAUCCUUCAGUUAAUAUGAUUAUCAGGCUUCACACUGCCACUGCUCUCAAAUUUUCCAGAUGGCAUUUCAUCUGGAAAGUUACAACCCUGUUCUGCUUGUUAUUUAUUUAACAACUGUGCUUUUGACUAAUACAGAAUACUCUCAGUAACAGAUCUAUAUUAAUCAAAGUUCAGAUAUUCAGUGUUAGCAAUUUAUUUUGAUUUUGUCACCAUUUACACAAAGUUAUUUACCUACGCCUCUAGCAUUUUUCAAAGGACUCUGUUGCUUUAAUACACACUUACUAAAAUACAAACUGUACUUAAAGCCAUUCUCUGGAGGAGUCCCCGUCCUGAAUGAAGUUCUGUGGCACAACUGAACUACAUGAAAUGACAGUGGCAGUCUCCUAAGGGUGAAUUUACCUCUGUGUUAAUGAAUGAAUGGAAUAGACAUACGGAGUCUCAGUGAGAUAGUCCUUAUGCUCCCUCAGGGAAGUUGAGGUGCUACGUUGAUAAUUGAACACUGGUAAAAGACAGAGUUAGAUUAUUUUUCUUAAACCCACGAUUUUGCAGUAGGGAUUCAGUCCAUCUUCCAGUGGAAUGUCUGAAAAAGUUUCAUAGACACCAGAACUGAUAUUGCCUGUCACUAUACAAACCGAAAACCGCUUCGUCACUCUAUAAAUGGAAGCUCCAGCCACACUAUAGCAAGCACCAAUGCAAGUGAAUUUAUGCACAAAUGUAACUACCAGAUUUAAGCUAAAUUUUGAGAGACCAGAUCAAGAAGGGUGCAAGCUCCAAAGGCAACAACUUGAAACUCUAACUUAGCUCUAACCCCUUUCUUCACCUUCUUUUCUCUGCGUAGUGUCAUUUUUAACAAAAUGUGCCAAAUUACAAGUCAUAAAAGCUCAAGUAUGUAAGCUGCAAAUCUGGUGCUUUCCACAAGGCCAGAAGUGUCAUGAAAGAAAAACGCCAUCCAUAAUAUGGGACUGUUUGGAAUCAGAUUAGAGAGACCUAGAAUUCGUCAGCAACUUCUGCCCAUAAGGUCAAAUUAUGAAGUCUGUACUUACUACAUAUAAACACACUCCAUUUCCAGAUUCUGCCCCCCACAGACACAGCAUAAUCUAUGACGUCCAUCAGUCAUCAGCUAGUUUAUAUCAGACUCCUACUAUACCUACAUAAAUAUGUUGAAUAUUUGGAAUAAUACAUUCACAAAGCAAUGAUCAUAUUUAUUUAUAUUUUACAAAGAGAAAAAAAAAUGUGAGAGAGUAAAGAUAGGCUGCCUUCAUAGCCAUUACAGGGAAAGUGUGGAGAAAUCACCAGAAACCCCCACCAGGGGAGAGAUAUGGAGCUUUUGGAAAGAGUCCAGAAGAAGGCCAUGAAGAUGAUCCAAGGGCUCCGGCAUGAAGAUCUAUGAAGAUAGGCUGAAGAGACUGAGCUUGUUCAGCCUGGAAAAGAGGAGGCUAUGGGAAAACCUCAUUGCAGCCUUCCCAUAUUUAAAGGGAGAUUGAAACAGGAGGAAAAACUACUUUUUACACAAGUAGUUUGUUAUAGAAUGAAGGGGAAUGGUUUUAAACUAAAGGAAGAGAGGCUUACAGUGGAUGUCAGGGAGAAGUUUUUACUGGGAGAGUGGUGAGGUGCUGGGACAGGCUUCCCAGAGAGGUUGUGGAUGCCCCAUUGCUGGAGGUAUUUAAGGCCAGGUUGGAUGGGGCCCUGGGCAAUCUGAUCUCAUGCUUAAUUUAGCAGCUGGCAACCCUGCCUGUAGCAGUGGGGUUGGAACUUGAUGAUCCUUGAGGUCCCUUCCAACCUAGGCCAUUCUAUGAUUCUAAACAUGAAGAGAGCUAAAUAUUCUCUAGAUAAAAGAAAGGCAGAGAAGGAAUGACUAUCUGAAGGGCAGUCCCAUGUGCAGAAGCUGGGAAUGGAUACCCACAGGGCCCAGACAUGGGGUCACCAACCUCAAGGUUGCUGCCAUGUCAGGACCUGCGUGGGCAGCUGGCCAAUGCGAUACAGGAGGUUCCUCCACUUCCUUUCUUUGGUCACCAACCUGCCAUGAGGUUUGAAUGGCUUCUGUCUAUCUCUAAUGGGGACCUGGAGGAAAGACAUUCAUCCUAUCACAAGCCUCCUGAGCCAUCUCAACUCCAACACAGCAGUUUUUUAAAAAUUCUUAAGCUUACUUCACACAGAUAUAAAUAAUUAUACAGACAAUACAAGUCAAAGAAGAGUCAGGCACUAAAUACUGAUAGAAAGCCUUAUUCCUCCUUUCUUCAGUGAAAACUCUAGAUCUCUGUUCUGCAUUAUUCAUUCAGUAAUCCACCUCUGUGAUACACAUGUAAGAGCUGUUUCAACAAUUUAUGAGCUUUAGUGAUGGCUGAAUAAUCACAUUUUAUAGUCUGAUACAGAUAUCAGAAACACCUGAUACAGAUACAAAAAAGAUUGUGGUAGGUUAUUUCAUGAAAGGCUAAUGCAUCAAAAAGUCCAAGUUGGAAGGCAUUGGAAGGACUUAAGGGAAAUUCUUUCUGCUCUUACAUUAUCUAUCAUUACAUCAGUAACACAGUCCUUGAGGUUUGCAAUUGCCCAGCUCCAGACACUUUAAUAAAGAAAUACAUAAAAUCAAUGCAACUCAUUUUCUCCCAUCUUCAUUUAAAAAUAAAAAAUUGAAAUCUCUGUUCCAGAAACAAAUAAAUAAAUAAAUCUGCUAAUGCAGAAUAUGAAUUACAGAGCAACUUUUAAAAAACUGUACAUGAAAAGUCAAGGUCAUUUUGUAUAAUCACACAAAUGAACAAAUAGCUGUGGUAAACUGAAAUUCCUGGAAAUCAUGUAAAUAACCGGCCAUAAUCAGAGGCUGCAGAGCAAUUAUUAAUCUACUGAUGCUGACCUACCAGACACCCUAAGUUCACCAGACUAUUUUUAACCUAUUUUAGUUACAGAAUGUAUCUAGAACUAUCCUUUGCUUCUUACAUUUCUUUCUGUAAAUUGCAUAGGCAAUAUCCAUUGUAUAUCCUGUAGUACAAAUCAAAUUAUUAUCCUAACAAGCUCUUCUGGGAAAUAUAAAAAUUCUGAAGCUAAAAAUCUGUAUGAAAGUAGAUACUUCCAUUGCUUUAUCAUUAAUCAAAAGAUAUACUAAUGUUCUAAUGGCACAACUAUUUAAACAUUCAAAAGUACAAAAAUGUACUUGCUUAAAAUAUCUGAUAAGAAAACAUCCUUAAAAGUGAUCACAGCUAAAAUUGCUUUUCUAGAUACAAAUGGAACACACUUUACAUCAGACUAAACACUCAGAAGACAGGUAGUGAAUUGGAGACUACGUAGAUGCUUAGCCAGGCCUGUGUCAAUCUCCAUCCAU